GAUUUAUAUGCAUCAAGAUUACACUGGGCAGGUUGUUGUAGAUGAGUAGGACUCGGCUUGUUACAUGAAAUAUCAAUCUAUCACUAACUAUCUAGCUGAGUCCAUGUCAAUCACAACACCUUGAAUUGUAACGUGUACAGAUAUCAACACAUGAGAUAUUCCAAGACAUCUAGGAGCCUUCGCCAUCAUUAACCAACUCUCUUUUCUAGAUGUACCGGCACCUCCCUCUUCCAAAUCAACCGCCGCCGCAGGUGAUUUCAAAGUUGCUCUGGCCGUCAGCAAGUGCCAGUUGGGAUUGCAGAAGCAGUUGUUGCAUGGCCUUCUGUCCGCUCGAGCUCUUACUCUC
rnacentral:lncRNA from 1 species